UGUUUUGUCACAUUACGUAUACGAUCAGUGGACUGACAAACGGCUGGUUGGGUGGAUGUAGGGACUGCCUGAAAAAGACUGCGUGAGUGAGUGACUGAUUGACGUAUUGUCUGAUUGACAGCAGCAGAAGUUGAAUGGGAAGAGCAUAGGGAGGAGUACAAAGUAAGGAGUGAAUGAAUGAAUGAAUGAAUGAAAGAGCAAAUGAUUGGGCAAAUGAAUGUAAGUUCUCUCUCUUGGCAAUUUGCCGGAUUUUGUGAGGAAGGAGGAACACUGGGCUGGGCUGGGCGCGCAACAACCGGAAACAAACGACGUGACUUUUCACAGAAAUCUAUGCGAAAUGCUACCGAUAAUUAUGUACAUUUUUUCAUUCAUACAUAUAAUAAAUAAUAGUACAUACAAUACAAUACAUAAGUACAAUCCAUA